UGUGAAUUUUUCACUUUAUACUAAAUGCUUACAUCAAAAUGUCAGUAUGAAAUAAUAUCUUUAUUUAUAUAUUUUUCCUUUAUUUUGCAUCUAGGGUUUUCCUUUCUCACUUCUCUUUCCUUUUCCAUUUUAUUUCCAAAUUCUAGGAUUUGAAUUAGGUUUUAAUCCCUAAUUCACAUUGUUAAUGUAUCCUUAUUAAUCUUAGUAUUGUUAUUAAAUGCACAAACAAUUAACUCCAACAUGAUGCACGGAUUAUUUUAGGUGUUAGUAGUUAACUGUUUACUUAAAAUAAGGCUAUUUCCAUAUUGUGAUGAGUAGAUGGCAAAAUAUAUUUAUGGAGAUCAACUCUUUCUUACUAUUUACAAUUUGGGUAUUACAUCUUGUUUGGUGUCCUUAUCUAGUUGAUCCUACUAGUGCAUAUGUGCCACACAGGAUGGUGAAGGAUGGGAUCCUUGCGGCGAGGGGGGCGUCUUGCCUCCUGGGCUCCUACACCACCGUU
rnacentral:lncRNA from 7 species